rnacentral:tRNA from 1 species
GGCCUUGUGGCGGAAUUGGCAUACGCAUCAGACUUAAAAUCUGACGACCUUAGGGUCUUGAGGGUUCGAGUCCCUCCGAGGCUA